rnacentral:rRNA from 1 species
GACGAACGCUGGCGGCGUGCUUAACACAUGCAAGUCGAACGGAAAGGCCCUGCUUUUGUGGGGUGCUCGAGUGGCGAACGGGUGAGUAACACGUGAGUAACCUGCCCUUGACUUUGGGAUAACUUCAGGAAACUGGUGCUAAUACCGGAUAGGAGCUCCUGCUGCAUGGUGGGGGUUGGAAAGUUUCGGCGGUUGGGGAUGGACUCGCGGCUCAUCAGCUUGAUGGUGGGGUAGUGGCUUACCAAGGCUUUGACGGGUAGCCGGCCUGAGAGGGUGACCGGCCACAUUGGGACUGAGAUACGGCCCAGACUCCUACGGGAGGCAGCAGUGGGGAAUAUUGCACAAUGGGCGGAAGCCUGAUGCAGCAACGCCGCGUGCGGGAUGACGGCCUUCGGGUUGUAAACCGCUUUCGCCUGAGACGAAGCGUUAGUGACGGUAAUGGGUAAAGAAGCACCGGCUAACUACGUG